ensembl:processed_transcript
CAUCGUGCAGGAUAUAGCAAGACAUUGUUCCAGCAUACCUACAGGAUUCAUGGAGUUUAUUGCUGCCUGCUGGUCCCCUCAAUAUGUUGUAGAAGAGAUCCAGCAUACAGUGGAUGAGAUUCUGGACCAGCCGUGGCUAAGAAACUAGUGAAAAUAAAGACUGUUUUAGUCAAUUGAUGAACAUGAGGAGUUUAUGCUUUCCAAGUGGUUCAGCAUGACGUAGAGCCCAUCAGAAGCAGGAAACAGGUUUUCAGACUUCCAUUUAUGUCACAUUGUUUUGCUGUUUUCCGCUUCUGCUUCCCAAAUUCUGCACUUCCUCCUGCGAGUGUUGCAGUCAGAGCUGCAUGUAAAUGAGGGCCGGUUUCAGUCUAGUCCACCAGCUCUCGACUGAAAGCUCCUCCUCCAGCCAAUCACGCGAGGAGGAAAGCUGAUGUCACUGUAAUGGCUCUUAUCCUAAAACAUAUUUUGUUGGAAUGUGGAAGUUUGAAUG